rnacentral:rRNA from 1 species
CAGUAGCCGCGGUAAUACGUAGGGUGCAAGCGUUUAUCGGAAUUACUGGGCGUAAAGCGUGCGCAGGCGGUUUUGUAAGUCUGUCGUGAAAUCCCCGGGCUCAACCUGGGAAUGGCGAUGGAGACUGCAAGGCUAGAAUCUGGCAGAGGGGGGUAGAAUUCCACGUGUAGCAGUGAAAUGCGUAGUUAUGUGGAGGAACACCGAUGGCGAAGGCAGCCCCCUGGGCUAAGAUUGACGCUCAUGCACGAAAGCGUGGGGAGCAAACAGGAUUAGAUACCCCCGUAGUCCCUGUCUCUUAUAC